UUCCCCAUCUCAUCCCGUCUUCUUCGUUUCACCAUCUCGUCGUAUUUUUAUCCUUUCACCACCUCAUCCCAUCUUCUUCUUCACCAUCUCAUCUCCCUUUACAUCUAUCUCUGCUUCGUUUUCUUCUCCCAUUUCGUUUUCAUUUCUUGAUUGGUUUUCCUCAUUUGAUUCAUUUCUUCCCUGCUUUAGUUAAUAGAGUAACACCGUUACCAAAACUUCGGCAACCAAAACCAUAAACCGAAGCAACCGACUCCGAACCGAACCGAAUCAAUGAUUUAUUCGGUUCAAUUCAGAAGCUUUUCCUCAAUCCGAAAUAACCGAAGAACGGUACUAACCAAACCGAAGUAUCCGUAGAAACCAAAGUCGCAAGCCUAGGCACUACCAUAGCUAUGAAGAAGAUUUGUACUAGUGGAUGAUUUAUAACAUUUCUACGGAAGCAUUUGUUAAAGCAUAGCUACUACAUAUACGUAUACCGUACUGAUUUGAACUGAAACAUGCAUUUUAGGAAAUGAGGGAAAUCACAACUUUUUGCCUCUGCUUUUGGGCAACUCCAGCUUGGGUUCUAAAGCCAGUCAUGUUACCACGCUGGAUCUGUCAUAUCUAAUGUCAUUGCCAACAGUUUCCGUCGUGACCAUAGCAUUAUUCCAUCAUUGCUUCGUCUGCAGUUUCAUGAUUGCUUUCUUACGGUUCUUAAGCUUAUCCUUGUGUGGAAAUAAAUAUAUAUGGACUUAGUAAUGUAUAUAGACAUAAAUUACAUUGAUCUAGCAAAGUUUUGAAUGAUUGUGUA